rnacentral:rRNA from 1 species
UACGAAGGGGGCUAGCGUUGCUCGGAAUUACUGGGCGUAAAGCGCACGUAGGCGGUCUUUUAAGUCGGGGGUGAAAUCCUGGAGCUCAACUCCAGAACUGCCUUCGAUACUGGAAGACUUGAGUCCGGGAGAGGUGAGUGGAACUGCGAGUGUAGAGGUGAAAUUCGUAGAUAUUCGCAAGAACACCAGUGGCGAAGGCGGCUCACUGGCCCGGUACUGACGCUGAGGAGCGAAAGCAUGGGUAGCGAACAGG